rnacentral:rRNA from 1 species
GACGAACCGUGCGAACGUUAUUCGGAAUCACUGGGCUUAAAGCGCGUGUAGGCGGGAGGGCACGUCCGUUGCUGAAAUCCCCCGGCUCAACCGGGGAACGGGCGCGGAUACGACUCUCCUUGAGGGGCGUAGGGGGACCUGGAACUUCCGGUGGAGCGGUGAAAUGCGUUGAGAUCGGAAGGAACGCCCGUGGCGAAAGCGAGGUCCUGGACGCCUACUGACGCUGAGACGCGAAAGCUAGGGGAGCAAACAGG